rnacentral:tRNA from 1 species
GCGGGUGUUGUGUAAUGGUAAGACCUUAGGUUUCCAACCUAAAGAUAGGAGUUCGAUUCUCCUCUCCCGCUCCA